GCCGUCUUCUUGUUGAACUCUCCACCGCUGGCAAACUUGGGCGUCCUACCUCCUCCUCCGCCUUUUCAUCCAGCCUCUUCUGCCGUCUGUUCGUCCAGCUUCCUCCACCUCGCUUCCUCCACCUCGUGAAGCUUCUUCUCCGUCCUCCUCCAUCAAGCUUCUCUGCCUCCUCCAACUUUUUUUACCAAGACAAAAACAAAUUGAAAUCAAAACUCACAGAGAGAGAGAGAGAGAGAGAGAGAGAGAGAGAGAGAGAGAGAGAGAGAAACAUAGAAUGUAUAUGAUAGAGUUACAGAACCAAACCAACACGUCUCAAACCAAACCAAGUUUCCAAACCGAAAUACACUACGUAAUUGAUUACGUAGUAUCUUAAUUUUUUCUUUUCUGCAUUUUGUUUUAGUUGAUAAUAAGGAGAGAAUAGGUCUUUCUUGUAUAUAGGAAACCAUCUUCUCCACUUUCCCUUAAUUCCCAUGUUGAAAGGAGUUUACGACUCCACUUUCUUUCUGUAUCUUCUCUAUUUAAAUGAAUGAAAAAGCCAAAAAGAGGCAAUCUUAAUUGCCCAAAGUAAAGUUUUAUUGUUCUCAGUUUGUUCUAAAGCUUUGAAGAAGUUCAUAGCUAUCAGUAUAUAUUAAAACAGGUUUACAAAAUAUUUGAACCGGUUUGUAAUUUUAAAUUGGUUUAUACCAUUAAACAAAAUUAAAAAAAAAACUAAAAAUACAAAACUAAACCUAAUCUACAGGCCGCCGUUUUCUUGUUGAACUCUCCACUGCUGGCAAACUUGAACGUCCUGCCUCCUCCGCCUCUUCCGCCGUCUGUUCGUCCAGCUUCCUCCACCUCGUGAAGCUUCUUCUCCGUCCUCCUCCAUCAAGCUUCUCUGCCUCCUCCAACUUUCUUUACCAAGACAAAAACAAAUCGAAAUCAAAACUCAGACAGAGAGAGAGAGAGAGAGAGAGAGAGAGAGAGAUCCGGGCAGGAUAACACGCAAAAUCACACAAAGCCGAAUCACACAAACCAUGAUAGUAAUUG
rnacentral:lncRNA from 1 species